CUCGCAUCGAUGGGAGCGGCGUCGAUUGCCCAGCGAGAGUACGCGAGCGAGCUGCCCGGCUUUCCGAUGCCAUAGAGCAGGUCGGCCCAUGUGUACAAUUUCACAUAUGUACAUUCAUCAAGCAAGGCUCAGCUUGGCUCAAGCUCGAUAUCCUCAUCAUUAUAUGCCAUGAAGUUGUCAAGCACGGUCUCUCGGUGGAGUGCCAAGACCAAAGUUGGAGAAGAUGAUCAUGAAGCCCAGAAUUAGAAGGGAUGUGGAUAAUUUAUGGGAUGUGAGAAAGAACAAUUGUGAAGAAUAAAGUUGUCGGAUUAUCGAUAGGAUGGACAUCUAAUGUAAAGCUAAGGGGAAGCUGCUUAAUUGACUGAUCCUGUUUGGACCAUUCGACUUGGAAGGUUUUGGUGCAGUAUUUUUGUGACUGGUUUAUGGAAAUGUCAUAGAAGAGAAACUUUUUCUGUAAGCAAUGCAGACCAUCAGUAUCAGCACAAAGAGAUCUUUCAGUUCAAGUGGCCCAAGGUUGUCACUGCGGCUUCCUCCUAUAUACUACAGUGUGAGUUAAAAGAACAAGGCCAUUGAGAUCUUUCUCAAUCAGACUAGGAGAAUCACCUUAUUGGAUGUCUAUGAUGUCACCCUCGAUUCACGUGAGAAGAGCCAGGGUGGUGGUACAAUUCCGUGAAGCAGCCUGUGCCUGUAAUAUAUCGACUGUGUCUAUGAUGUCGCCUAAGGAUCAUGUAGAGGCAGGUCUCCUGAUACAUUUAUGUGAGACAGGGACUGCUUCCCUGUAGAGCAUGUAGAAGCAGAUCCUCUAGUCUAACCCCUGGCUUCUGUGAAUGCCUGUGCCAUUGUUCUGUCGGAGCAGCCUAUAUCCAGAGUGUUGGAUUCAAUCAGCAUGGAAGAUUAAUUGAUUGAAGCCUUCCACCCCAUAAUAUGAGACUUUCCUCAGGCAGCUGAAGAUUCUGUUCUUAUCACUGAGGCAUCGCCCAUCUAGUGCACCCAACACGAUCAUCAUAAUGGAGGAAAGGAUCAUGGUGGGCAAGUGCCUUGUUGGUCCGAUCAUAUCUGAUGAUAGUGAGGAGCAACUCAUCCAGUCCCAAAUGCCGGCUGAUCUCUCAUGGUGCUUCAUCUCAGAACGUGCUAGGAAACUGAUAUCCCACUCACCGUCUUGUCUCAGUCCAAGCUUUGGUGAAGCAAGGAAGGUGGUGGUGGGAAACAAAAUGCUGGUCUCUGUAUGACGUUGUCUUUGCUCCCAUUCAUCCUACCAUUCCAUUAUGUGGACAUCAUUUAAAAAAAAUUGACAAGGAUUUGAUGCUUC